UCCAGGUCAGUUUCCCUCGCCAAGUUUUGCAGGCCACCAUGUUAUCCAUUCUGUUCAGCUAUUUAGAAAAUGUUGAAUAUCAACAAUGGCUUUCACUGCAGCAUUGUUGGCUUUUGUAUGAAGCAAUCUUGGCUGAAUGUGAUGGCUCGGCGUGCAGGGAGGGCUCACUGCCGAAUGAGAAUCUUCCUGCGUCUCUCUUUCCUCUGGGCUCUGAGCUGCACAACUGGAGGGUCUCAUGGACUUCUCAGUGCUGCUCACACAAUAUCUCCAAGCCCCCCUGAAGUUGCGGAGAGAGGGAUGAAGAGGGACGAGUGAAGGCGGUGAGAGAAAGUGAUGCCAGGAUUGGUCGGCUGUCUGUUCCAUAUUCAGUAGCUCUGGAUGAGGCAGUGGGCCUGCUGGGAAAACGGUGUCGUAAUCAGGAGCCGAUCGCUCUGCCUGAUCAGGUUGUUUCCACGUCUCUACAGGUUGAGGCCUGACAGACGUGCCAGACCUGCUACCAUGUGGACUCCUCCACCUCACCCUGCAGACAUGGCUUAAGAUCACACGCAUGCAAUGCAUGCACUCUCUCUCUCUCUCUCUCUCUCUCUCUCUCUCUCUCUCUCUCUCUCUCUCUCUCUCUCAUAUAUGCACACAUGCAGAGUAUGUUCCCUCAAUCAUGCAUCCCCUCUUGCAUAGAUUGUACAUUAAAGUUAUGCCCCCAGUUAUAUAAAUGUAUAUAACAAAGAUAUUUACCCCCUUUUGAGUUCCAUCUUUCCAGCAACAUGAAGUAUAAUGUUCAUAAAUGCAGUCUGACUACACAAAUGUAACUCACAGUAUGCAGAAACAUUGUUGUGUCACGUGGCUAUUACAUGCAUCUUCAUGACAAUUCAAGGAAUUACUGUACAUACCCGCCUAUCUCUCCAGCACCCUGGCUAGCACACUGUGGAAUAAAUCACAACAGUUACGUCUGUUAUUGGCUAUAAAUCUUAAUGCUAGACACCCCGAUUUCUAUCAUUUAAACCGUUUUUUUUUUCUUCCACCCCCAUACUUAAUGACACAGAAUGUUAUGAGUAGUGCGUGCAGAAAGCUGGCGUGGUAACUACGUGUUACAUACCUGUUGAGGGUGUUCUCCUGUAUAGAGCAAAAAAAGUGAGGCAGAUAGACAUAACGAGAGAUUGUGUAUGUGUGUGUAUGUAAGUGAGAGCGAAAUGUUGAAAGUGAGAUCAAAACAAAGUGACAAAGCAAAUUUUAGAAUUUUGAGAUUGGCCUGAUGGUGUGUUUUUCUGUAUCAUGCGGUUUGAGAUAUAACUUGUACACCUUUGUUUAUCAGAUAAGUGUGUAUGUGUAUGUAUGUAUGUAUGUGUGUGUGUGUGUGUGUGUGUGUGUGUGUGUGUGUGUGUGUGUGUGUGUGUGUGUAUAUAUAUGAAUGUGUGCAUGCAUGUUUGCAUGUUUUUGGCCUUUGGGUCUUCCUAUGAGUCACUCCCAUGUGGUAAGCCCAGUAAAGCUGUCCUAGUCCUCUCUAAUUCCUCAUUAGCUCACGGCAGGCUGUCUCAGGGGGAUUUGCACUGCCUGUGGUGUGUGUGUGUAUGUAUGCGUUAGUUCAGGCUCACAGGAUCUAAACGUGAAACACUACAGGGCUUCUUGGUGGGAGGCUGCAUAUGGCCAGGUGUGUGUUCACUGCCAGGUGUGUGUAUAUGCCAGGUUCAGGAGCUCGAGAUAAGUAUGUCAGCACAGUGGUGUGUUAAGCAACAUUCAAUUUGGGAUUAUGCACAAAAAGAAAAAUACAGUGAAAGAAAGAGAGAAAGAGAGAAAGCGAGAGACAAAGAGAGAGAAAAAAGAGA